UAAACUAUCGUUCUGGGAACAGUCGCUCUUACAAGCUGUUCCCAUGGAGAUAGCUUAGC
rnacentral:pre_miRNA from 2 species